rnacentral:rRNA from 1 species
AGUGAACGCUGGCGGUAGGCCUAACACAUGCAAGUCGAGCGGCAGCACAGUAAGAGCUUGCUCUUACGGGUGGCGAGUGGCGGACGGGUGAGGAAUACAUCGGAAUCUACUUUUUCGUGGGGGAUAACGUAGGGAAACUUACGCUAAUACCGCAUACGACCUACGGGUGAAAGCAGGGGAUCUUCGGACCUUGCGCGAUUGAAUGAGCCGAUGUCGGAUUAGCUAGUUGGCGGGGUAAAGGCCCACCAAGGCGACGAUCCGUAGCUGGUCUGAGAGGAUGAUCAGCCACACUGGAACUGAGACACGGUCCAGACUCCUACGGGAGGCAGCAGUGGGGAAUAUUGGACAAUGGGCGCAAGCCUGAUCCAGCCAUACCGCGUGGGUGAAGAAGGCCUUCGGGUUGUAAAGCCCUUUUGUUGGGAAAGAAAAGCAGCAGGUUAAUACCCCGCUGUUCUGACGGUACCCAAAGAAUAAGCACCGGCUAACUUCG